ensembl:misc_RNA 7SK 7SK RNA
CGAUGUGAGGGCGAUCUGGCUGUGACAUCGGUAACCCCACUGAUCGCCAGGGUUGAUUCAGCUGAUCUGGCUGGCUAGGCGGGUGUCCCUUUCCUCCCUCACCGCUCCAUGUGCGUCCCUCCCGAAGCUGUGCGCUUGGUCGAAGAGGACGACCAUCCCCGCUAGAGGAGGACCCGUCUUCAGUCAAGGGUAUACGAGUAGCUGCGCUCCCCUGCUAGAACCGCCAAACAAGCUCUCAAAACUGUACAUAUGAAAUUUGUUACCGCUACAUAAAAUGUAAAAAGCUAAAUAAAUAAAUGAAUAAUAAAUAAAUAAAAGAACUAAUGGCUAAUAGUUAAUAU